rnacentral:rRNA from 1 species
UACGUAGGGCGCAAGCGUUGUCCGGAAUUAUUGGGCGUAAAGAGCUCGUAGGCGGCUUGUCGCGUCUGUUGUGAAAGCCCGGGGCUUAACCCCGGGUCUGCAGUGGAUACGGGCAGGCUAGAGGCAGGUAGGGGAGAACGGAAUUCCCGGUGUAGCGGUGAAAUGCGCAGGUAUCGGGAGGAACACCGGUGGCGAAGGCGGUUCUCUGGGCCUGUACUGACGCUGAGGAGCGAAAGCGUGGGGAGCGAACAGG